rnacentral:rRNA from 1 species
AUGCCAGACUCCUACGGGAGGCAGCAGUGAGGAAUAUUGGUCAAUGGUCGGGAGACUGAACCAGCCGAGCCGCGUGAGGGAUGAAGGUACAGAGUAUCGUAAACCUCUUUUGUCAGGGAACAAAGGCGGGGACGUGUCCCCGGAUGAGUGUACCUGAAGAAAAAGCAUCGGCUAACUCCGUGCCAGCAGCCGCGGUAAUACGUAGGGGGCAAGCGUUAUCCGGAUUUACUGGGUGUAAAGGGAGCGUAGACGGCAGUGCAAGUCUGAAGUGAAAGCCCUGGGCUUAACCCGGGAAUUGCUUUGGAAACUGUACGGCUGGAGUGCUGGAGAGGUAAGCGGAAUUCCUAGUGUAGCGGUGAAAUGCGUAGAUAUUAGGAGGAACACCAGUGGCGAAGGCGGCUUACUGGACAGUAACUGACGUUGAGGCUCGAAAGCGUGGGGAGCAAACAGGAUUAGAUACCCGAGUAU